rnacentral:rRNA from 1 species
UGGGGAAUAUUGGACAAUGGGGGAAACCCUGAUCCAGCGACGCCGCGUGACUGAAGAAGUAUUUCGGUAUGUAAAGGUCUAUCAGCAGGGAAGAAAAUGACGGUACCUGACUAAGAAGCCCCGGCUAACUACGUGCCAGCAGCCGCGGUAAUACGUAGGGGGCAAGCGUUAUCCGGAUUUACUGGGUGUAAAGGGAGCGUAGACGGCAAUGCAAGUCUGGAGUGAAAGCCCGGGGCUCAACCCCGGGACUGCUUUGGAAACUGUGUUGCUGGAGUGCAGGAGAGGUAAGUGGAAUUCCUAGUGUAGCGGUGAAAUGCGUAGAUAUUAGGAGGAACACCAGUGGCGAAGGCGGCUUACUGGACUGUAACUGACGUUGAGGCUCGAAAGCGUGGGGAGCAAACAGG